rnacentral:rRNA from 1 species
CCUACGGGAGGCAGCAGUGAGGAAUAUUGGUCAAUGGACGAGAGUCUGAACCAGCCAAGUAGCGUGAAGGAUGACUGCCCUAUGGGUUGUAAACUUCUUUUAUAUGGGAAUAAAAUGUUCCACGUGUGGGAUUUUGUAUGUACCAUAUGAAUAAGGAUCGGCUAACUCCGUGCCAGCAGCCGCGGUAAUACGGAGGAUCCGAGCGUUAUCCGGAUUUAUUGGGUUUAAAGGGAGCGUAGGUGGAUUGUUAAGUCAGUUGUGAAAGUUUGCGGCUCAACCGUAGAAUUGCAGUUGAAACUGGCAGUCUUGAGUACAGUAGAGGUGGGCGGAAUUCGUGGUGUAGCGGUGAAAUGCGUAGAUAUAACGAAGAACUCCGAUUGCGAAGGCAGUUCACUGGACUGCAACUGACACUGAGGCUCGAAAGUGUGGGUAUCAAACAGGAUUAGAUACCCUGGUAGUC